rnacentral:lncRNA from 1 species
UUUCAGUGGUGCCCAGGGACAGGACAAGAGGAAAUGGGCACAGACUGGAACACAAGAAGCUCCAUCUAAAGAUGAGGAGGAAGUUCUUCCCUUUGAGGGUGGCAGAGCCCUGGAAGAGGCUGCCCAGAGAGGUGGUGGUCUCCUUCUCUGGAGACAUUCAGAUCCACCUGGACACCUUCCUGUGCAACCUGCUUUGGCAGGGGGGUAUUCUGUGAUUGUCACGCUGAGAAAUACAGAUUUCUCUUCGGGAAAUCCGCAGCCAUAAAACUUUUGAUUACAGGCAUGUCGUUAUGAGAUGUUUAGCUGGUGGGGCCAGCCCUUUUCCCUCUCUGCGGGUGGAAGAAGGUGGUGAACUUUUAAAGGAAUUAGAAGGGCAAAGAUCUACUCUGGCAGUUUUGGACAGAGGAAUUCAGAGUCAGACCCAGCUGGGAUAGGAAAGAUGAGCUGUGCUGGAAUAUAUUGUUGGUGACAAGUUCUUUCACCUUAUCACCCUGAGAGUGAUAAACUCUGCAAGGAUGUUUGGGGUUUUUUCUAUUAAUUUUUUUUUUCCCUUCACUUCUCUUUGUACUGUUAAAUAAAAAUACACUUUGUGCCUGUAUGGCAGGUCAGCUCCCACUCACCUAUCCCAUGUCCAUGAGGGGUCUGAGCUGCAACACAUAACCUGGGGGGUGUGCAGCCUGGGACCUCCAGGAGCUGGGUCGGAGGUCCCUGAAAGGAGGGACCUUCUCUGGAGAACGUGCCUGAAGAAAUCAUGGGACCCGUGCUGGGUUUAGUCCAAGACUCUCUGUUCAUGUAUCUGGGUGGAGUUUCAGAGCCAACAGGCUGCGUGGCGUGCAGGUUGGGCACUUUGCCUAUCUUCUCGGUCCUCCCCCUGAGGAGGCCACCCAUACCAGAGAAAGCAACGGUGCUGACAUCUACUGGUUAUUAUUCAGCUGUUAAUUAUUAGUAACACAUGGUGUCCUUUCUGAAUGACAUGCAAACGGUCCAGCACCUUGCGACGUCGCCAAAUGCACUGCGGAAGGUUCAGCUUCUCUUGUCCUUUCUGGUCUUCUCCGGUGGCAUCUCCAGUUAUAACGUGGUUUCCUCAUUUCACUCUUCUGCAUUAAGGUGCCAAGUACCUUCCUGGUGGGUGCUGCGCGGGGCUGCAGAGCGGCUGCAGGAUGCAGUAGAACGUUACCAAACAUCAGCAGCAGCUGCACGUGCAUUUACUAAGGAUAAUGUUCCUGCUGUGGGGUGGCCUGAAAAAUCUCUGCUGCUAAAAAUCAGAGUAUCCUGGGAUGACACAGUUGCUCCACGCAUCCUCGUCUUCACCUGGAUCCAUCCAUGGCUGAGGUACA